rnacentral:tRNA from 1 species
GAGGAGGUGGCCGAGUGGUUAAGGCGAUGGACUGCUAAUCCAUUGUGCUCUGCACGUGUGGCUUCUAAUCCCAUCCUCGUCG